rnacentral:lncRNA from 1 species
GCAUUUCACAUUUGUCAAAAUUAGUUCAGUAUGUAUCGAUCCAUCUGUCGUUUGUAUCGAUACAUAGAUCCUUUAAAAACAAAAAUGCGUGACAUGGAUCGAUCCAUGCCCAUAUGCAUCGACACAUACUGAUUGUUUUUGGAUUAAAUGCAUUUUAUUUCACUCAUGGAUCGACACAUCAGCAACUCUCAUCACAUCCUUCACAAACUUGGUAUCAGCUGUUCCCAUACCUCCCAAAACCUG